UUAGGAAUCUUGCGCAAUGGGCGAAAGCCUGACGCAGCGAUGCCGCGUGCGGGAUGAAGGCCCUCGGGUCGUAAACCGCUUUCAGCAGGGACGAUAGUGACGGUACCUGCAGAAGAAGCCCCGGCCAACUACGUGCCAGCAGCCGCGGUAAUACGUAGGGGGCGAGCGUUGUCCGGAUUUAUUGGGCGUAAAGAGCUCGUAGGCGGUUUGGUAAGUCGGGUGUGAAAUCUCCACGCUCAACGUGGAGGGGCCACUCGAUACUGCCAUGACUCGAGUCCGGUAGAGGAGUGUGGAAUUCCCGGUGUAGCGGUGAAAUGCGCAGAUAUCGGGAGGAACACCCGUAGCGAAGGCGGCACUCUGGGCCGGAACUGACGCUGAGGAGCGAAAGCGUGGGGAGCAAAACAGGAUUAGAUACC
rnacentral:rRNA from 1 species